AUAAUCUCUCAAUAUUCUAUUAGUUUAAGUCAUGUUUUAGUCAUAAUUAGCUGGAAGCUAAUUACCGAGAAGCCAGUAGAUGAUUUUACCCGAGAAGUUAUUUUCAAUAGUUCAUGUUACUAUUCUACAAAACAAUGUAGGGGUUGCUAAUGGAACGACAAUAGGUUUGGGAGCCUAUAGACCCGAGUGUUAACGACGAAAUGACAAGUAGACCUUAAUAUUAAAUACACUUAUUAAUGGCCGAAUAAUAAAUGUACGGGAGCCAUUUGUUUGUAUGCAUGUAUAUGUAUUGUGAUAUAUAAUAUAUUGGGGAACUCACUAAACUUUAUUCUUA